AUUGAACGCUGGCGGCAGGCCUAACACAUGCGAGUCGAAUGGUAACAGGAAACAGCUUGCUGUUUCGCUGACGAGUGGCGGACGGGUGAGUAAUGUCUGGGAAACUGCCUGAUGGAGGGGGAUAACUACUGGAAACGGUAGCUAAUACCGCAUAACGUCGCAAGACCAAAGAGGGGGACCUUCGGGCCUCUUGCCAUCAGAUGUGCCCAGGUGGGCUUAGCUGGUAGGUGGGGUAACGGCUCACCUAGGCGACGAUCCCUAGCUGGUCUGAGAGGAUGACCGGCCACACUGGAAGUGGGACACGGACAAGACGCCUACGGGAGGCAGCAGUGGGGAAUAGUGGACAGUGGGGGCAAGCCUGGUGCAGCCAUGCCGCGUGCAUGAAGAAGGCCUUGGGGGUGUAAAGUACUUUCAGCGGGGAGGAAGGGAGUAAAGUUAAUACCUUGGCUCAUUGACGUUACCCGCAGAAGAAGCACCGGCUAACUCCGUG
rnacentral:rRNA from 1 species